rnacentral:rRNA from 1 species
AUGAACGCUGGCGGCAUGCCUAACACAUGCAAGUCGAACGAUGCUUUCGGGCAUAGUGGCGCACGGGUGCGUAACGCGUGGGAAUCUGCCCUUGGGUUCGGAAUAACAGUUGGAAACGACUGCUAAUACCGGAUGAUGACGUAAGUCCAAAGAUUUAUCGCCCAGGGAUGAGCCCGCGUAGGAUUAGGUAGUUGGUGUGGUAAAGGCGCACCAAGCCGACGAUCCUUAGCUG